rnacentral:rRNA from 1 species
AGUCGAACGGAAAGGCCCUGCUUUUGUGGGGUGCUCGAGUGGCGAACGGGUGAGUAACACGUGAGUAACCUGCCCUUGACUUUGGGAUAACUUCAGGAAACUGGGGCUAAUACCGGAUAGGAGCUCCUGCUGCAUGGUGGGGGUUGGAAAGUUUCGGCGGUUGGGGAUGGACUCGCGGCUUAUCAGCUUGUUGGUGGGGUAGUGGCUUACCAAGGCUUUGACGGGUAGCCGGCCUGAGAGGGUGACCGGCCACAUUGGGACUGAGAUACGGCCCAGACUCCUACGGGAGGCAGCAGUGGGGAAUAUUGCACAAUGGGCGGAAGCCUGAUGCAGCAACGCCGCGUGCGGGAUGACGGCCUUCGGGUUGUAAACCGCUUUCGCCUGUGACGAAGCGUGAGUGACG